UACGAAGGAUCCAAGCGUUAUCCGGAUUUAUUGGGUUUAAAGGGCGCGUAGGCGGACUAUUAAGUCAGUGGUGAAAGCCUGCAGCUUAACUGCAGAAUUGCCAUUGAUACUGAUGGUCUUGAGUGCAUUUGAGGUGGGCGGAAUGUGUCAUGUAGUGAUGAAAUACUUAGAUAUGACACAGAACUCCGAUUGCGAAGGCAGCUCACUAAACUGUAACUGACGCUGAGGCACGAAAGCGUGGGGAUCAAACAGG
rnacentral:rRNA from 1 species